GAAACAAUGUAUUUUAAUAAAUAUUUUCUGUAAAACAAAUGAUUUGAAUUAUACGAAGGAUCAUGCCAGAUUCAGAUAUUUUUUAAAUCUGUAUUUUCAUACAUCAGGAUUGCCUGAAGCAAAGUAGACCUUUCCAGUCGAUAGACCCUGAAAGCUACAAAAAGACUUUGUAGAUUACUUAGCGUAACUCAUCCCUAAAUCUCAAUUUCAGAGUGUUUAAAAUGCCAUGUAGUCACUGGAUUGAGGCAAAAAUGUGAGCACAGUGGUCCUGAGUCUCCAUUUCUAGGAGAGGGAUGGGGGUGGAUACAACAGGGGUGCUUGCCACUAGGGGCAGCUCUGGGGCGGAGCGCAGCAGGAUAGAGGAAACGGACUAUUUCUGAGAAGUGAGAACAUCCCACAGUGUGAAUUUCAUUGAGGCAAGAGUUCGUGCCAAGUGCAGAAUUGCAUAGGGGUGAAUAGUUUACAGUUACUCCCUCAAGAUGCAUUGUUUGCAGAAAGAUAAACCUGUCAGGGUACAGUAGGAAUGGUUGUCCAGAGCUGGGUUACAGGGGCCACCAAUGAAAAUCCUCCAUGGAGCCUAGUCUUCUUCAGCUCCUUCCUGUGUCAUAACAAAGCAAUUCCGAUUUUUUGCUUGACACGACAUUUAAAGGCUAAUAUCUCCCUGGUGUUCGGCAAACAUCCUGUCCCAUCAGAACAAACCAGGCAACUGUUUUCUAGGUUUUAAAAACUUUUUCAUUACAUUCAUUAUGCUUCAAACUGUUAUUUUUGCAAUUCCAAUAACACACCACGCUUCCUACACUUGACCUCAGCCAAAAGGCCGAGAAGCGAUCAAACCAUGCUUUCUUUUAUGUCUCAAUGCCUCUGCACAUGUGGGUCUUCUGCUGGAAAUAUGGCCCCCUUGUUCUACAUGGAAAACGCCGCUGCUCACCUUCAAACCUUGACUAAGAACUGUCUUCUCUGUGAAAUUCUCUCUGGAUCAGGAUUCUUCUCCCUGUUUUCAUAUUGCAUUUGGUACACAUUUCUCUUGAAGUGAAUUUACCAAACUGUAGUUCUUGGAUUGGUUUUCUGCUCCUUCCUCCCUUCCCCCAGAUUUGAAGCAACUGAGGCCAGAGUCAUCUUUGAUAGGCAUUCAAAAAAUAUUUGUAGGAAGCAGUAAUCAUUUUUCAUAAACUUUCAGAAACUUCACACUACUCACUAUUAUGGUAUGCUUAGAGUCUGGGAAGACUAAAUACUUUUUGAUUGAUUUGCUAGAUUACCAGGUACACCACGAAGCUCCAAUUUUCUUAGCAGAUAUAGGCAGAACUCCAUUGUAAAUGGCAUAAUCAUAGUCACAUUUUGUUCCUCUAAAACAUAACAUCUACCAACAAUAAAACACACACACACAAAUUAAAAGAGAAAAAACCUUAUCCCCAACCCCAAAUGUUCCCUCUCCUCUCCUUCUCGCCUCCACUCCUCUCCUGUCUCCUCUUCUCUUUCUGUCUCCUUUUGCUCCCACUCCAACCACAAGUAACUUUUCACAGUCUAACUCUAGGCAUUAGAAGGGUGUUUAACACAUAGUAAAUGCUCAAAAACUAUUUGAGAAUAGAUGUCCCUCCUUCCUUUUGCUGACAAAUUUCUAGAAAGGGCAGUCUAAUCUUGCAGCUUCCAUUAAUUCAUUCCCUAUCUACUCUUUAACCCAUAGCAAUCUCAUUUCUUCUCUGACCACUCUACUGAAAUUGUUGUCUCAAAGGUCAUCAAUGACCUAAUUACAAAAUUUAAUGGAAUUAUCUCUGUCUGUCUUCUGCCUGACUUCAUUAUAGGAUAUAGUAACAUUUAUCCCUUUGAAAUGUAGUAUAAUUUUAAAAGUAUGAGUUUUAAAGCAAAGAGACCCUAGUUUAAAUUUGUGUUCAUCUUCUACUAGCUGUGUGAACUUGGGCAAGUCACGUUGUAAAAUCUCCCAUCACCUUGAAAUAGGACUUUUGAUAUUUAUUUCUCAGAGUUGUUGCAAGGGUCAGCUGGGAUUUUGUGGGUGAGGCACUCAGCGCAGCGCCUGGCUUAGUGUAGCCAUGCAAUAAAUGCCUCCUUUCUCCCCUCGGUUUCCCAGUGAGUGCUGUUUCUUGGUUUUCUUCCAGAGGUUUCUCCUUUUCCUUGCCUAUCUCCUCUCAUUCCACAUUUUACCGCUGCCGUAUUUCAGAUUUUCUCCAUCUUUUACCUGAACUAUUUGCCAUUCAUAUAUAUGGUCAAUAUUCCAAAAAUAUUGGCUGAUUGAAUGAUAAUCUCUUAAUUGGUUUUUAUGGUUCCUAUCUGCUUUUUUCUCCAGUUCAAAUGUCAGAUUUCACGCUGUCACCAGAGUUGAUGCUUCCCAAAUACAGGUUAGUAAUGUAGCCCCCUCAACACCAAAAAAAACAAAACAAAAAAAAACAAAAAAAAAA
ensembl:lncRNA